UUGAAUGAAAGCAAUAAAUGAAAUUUCAAGGUUGGAGAGCAAUUCUAAGCUUUCAUUUUUUUUUUAAAUGAAGUAAAGAUAGUGCAUUUAUAGUCCAAAAUCAUUUUAGACUGUUUAAAAUCCUUUUGAAAUGUUACAGAUAGUGUUUUAGGUGAAAUAGUCGUUAUUUUGUCCUUUUGCACGAAACAGAGAAACUCUGAUCAUUAAGUAAACUAAUAGAAUUUUGGUAACAGUAGCAAACUGGUUAGCAAACUAAUAUUUUAGUAAACAAGUUAGCAAACUAAUUUAUCAGAUAUCUAAUUCAAUUUUGCAGAAAAAUUUUAAUCUUUGAAAACCUGAUUUAGACUUUAAGAAAAACAUUAAUUCCAAUAAAAAUAUCCAAGGUCAUGAUUAGAGAAAAUUUUGUAAAGUAAUUGAAAGAAAAAUUAAUUUUGGGUUCCAAUUGACUAAAACUGUCAUCUAUCAUUUUUACACAAAUCCUAAGACUCAAUUUUUAACUUUAUGACUUUCAUACCUUCAACUUGAGCCUUAGCUUUCAUAGCCUUGUUCUUUCUCAACUUAGAUUCAUCUUGAGUUGCCUUUUAGUGUCCUUCUUCCUUAGAUGCAACCUCAAGGAUUUUUCAUAAAUAAGGGAAAGAAUCUAUACAUCACUUGAAAUUGAGUUAGAUAGAUUCUAGUUGAGCUCAUCAAAAUCAAUGCUCAUUUUG
rnacentral:misc_RNA from 1 species